rnacentral:tRNA from 1 species
UGGCCAAUGAUCGUCAGGAUCGUUGAGCUGCAUUGGCGGGAUUUCGCCGUCUUCNUUUCUCUUUCUUCGCGGACGAACACGCGCUGGGGCUGCAACCUUGCAGGAUCCCUGGUCCUUGACUGGAUAUGCGUUAGGGGCUUGUAGCUCAGUUGGUUAGAGCGCGCGCUUGAUAAGCGUGAGGUCGGAAGUUCAAGUCUUCCCAGGCCCACCAGCCUUCGCGCUUCGCUGCUUCGGCUAGGCAAGCCCUUCAAAUGAAGGCUGCCGCGCCGUAGCCUUGGCGAAGGCGGGCUAAUCAAACGAGCAUUCGUCUUCUGGUUACGGGGCCAUAGCUCAGCUGGGAGAGCGCGUGCUUUGCAAGCAUGAGGUCGUCGGUUCGAUCCCGUCUGGCUCCACCAGAUGGUUUGAUCACCAACGGCAUGAUGACCGUCGUCCGCGAAACAUCACUUCGCACCCACUAGUCCGGAUGGACAGUGUGGCUGCGGGAUUUCUGACAUCGUAAAGAGGAGAUCGAUCCGAGUUGGAUCGUGCAGCAAGCAAUUGCCGCGCGAUACUUCAUUAUCUCCGGAUCAUUUCGGCGCUUGCUUCGCCCUUCAAGGUCAAACUUGAGAGGUGAUGCGAGUUGUAAAUGAUCCUUUUAGCGAAGCUUGACCGCCUCGCUAUCGGAACGAUCUUACGAAGCAAGCUGGUCUUUCUAAUCAUUGUCCGGCUGCAGAUAGCGUUCAUCGAGGGCGCGUGCCGCAAGGCAAUUCUGCAGACAGCAUUCUGCCGAGUGUGUGGACAUUGAUAAUGAGAGCAAUCAAGUGCCUUAAGGGUGUUCGGUGGAUGCCUUGGCGCUGAGAGCCGAAGAAGGACGUGCUACGCUGCG